UGAGCAAUCUGCCCUUCUCUUCGGAAUAAGCGUUGGAAACGACGUCUAAUGCCGAAUACGACCUCCUUUCGCAUGAUCGGAGGUGGAGAGCUCCGGCGGAGAAGGAUGAGCUCGCGGCCUAUCAGCUAGUUGGUGUGGGUAAUGGCCCACCAAGGCGACGACGGGUAGCCGGCCUGAGAGGGUGACCGGCCACACUGGGACUGAGACACGGCCCAGACUCCUACGGGGGGNAGCG
rnacentral:rRNA from 1 species